UACGUAGGGCGCAAGCGUUAUCCGGAAUUAUUGGGCGUAAAGAGCUCGUAGGCGGUUUGUCGCGUCUGCCGUGAAAGUCCGGGGCUCAACUCCGGAUCUGCGGUGGGUACGGGCAGACUAGAGUGAUGUAGGGGAGACUGGAAUUCCUGGUGUAGCGGUGAAAUGCGCAGAUAUCAGGAGGAACACCAAUGGCGAAGGCAGCUCGCUGGGACGGUACUGACGCUGAGGGACGAAAGCUAGGGGAGCGAAUGGG
rnacentral:rRNA from 1 species